rnacentral:lncRNA from 1 species
CCCAAAGGCUUGUGUGCGGACGCACUUGCGUGAGGGAUUCCUGCCACCUUCUGUGCUGUGGGGCAAAGCUUGUUCCUCUCCCGCUCAGCCGCGCAGGUUGAAUUGACCAAAGCAAUGGUUAUGGAGAAGCCUAGUCCCCUGCUGGUCGGGCGGGAGUUUGUGAGACAGUAUUACACACUGCUGAACCAGGCCCCAGACAUGCUACAUAGAUUUUAUGGAAAGAACUCUUCCUAUGUUCAUGGGGGAUUGGAUUCAAAUGGAAAGCCAGCAGAUGCAGUCUAUGGACAGAAAGAAAUUCACAGGAAGGUGAUGUCACAAAACUUCACCAACUGCCACACUAAGAUUCGCCAUGUUGAUGCUCAUGCUACUCUAAAUGAUGGUGUGGUGGUCCAGGUGAUGGGUCUUUUAUCAAACAACAACCAGGCUUUGCGGAGAUUCAUNGUGGUAAAGCACCUCUGGA